rnacentral:snRNA from 1 species
AUACUUACCUGGCAGGGGAGAUACCAUGAUCACGAAGGUGGUUCUCCAUUGCACUCCGGCUGUGCUGACCCCUGCGAUUUCCCCAAAUGCGGGAAACUUGACUGCAUAAUUUCUGGUAGUGGGGGACUGCGUUCGCGCUUUCCCCUG